rnacentral:tRNA from 1 species
GGGCCGUUAGCUCAGUUGGUAGAGCAUCGGACUUUUAAUCCGGUGGUCCCGGGUUCGAGUCCCGGGCGGCCCACCA